rnacentral:rRNA from 1 species
UCCGACUUCAUGGGGUCGAGUUGCAGACCCCAGUCCGAACUGAGACCGGCUUUUUGGGAUUCGCUCCACCUUACGGUAUCGCAGCCCUCUGUACCGGCCAUUGUAGCAUGCGUGAAGCCCAAGACAUAAGGGGCAUGAUGAUUUGACGUCAUCCCCACCUUCCUCCGAGUUGACCCCGGCAGUCUCCCAUGAGUCCCCGGCAUAACCCGCUGGCAACAUAGGACGAGGGUUGCGCUCGUUGCGGGACUUAACCCAACAUCUCACGACACGAGCUGACGACAACCAUGCACCACCUGUGUACGAGUGUCCAAAGAGAACCCCGUCUCGGGGGCUUUCUCGUACACGUCAAGCCUUGGUAAGGUUCUUCGCGUUGCAUCGAAUUAAUCCGCAUGCUCCGCCACUUGUGCGGGCCCCCGUCAAUUCCUUUGAGUUUUAGCCUUGCGGCCGUACUCCCCAGGCGGGGCACUUAAUGCGUUAGCUGCGGCACGGAACUCGUGGAAUGAGCCCCACACCUAGUGCCCAACGUUUACGGCAUGGACUACCAGGGUAUCUAAUCCUGUUCGCUCCCCAUGCUUUCGCUCCUCAGCGUCAGUUGCGGCCCAGAGACCUGCCUUCGCCAUCGGUGUUCCUCCUGAUAUCUGCGCAUUCCACCGCUACACCAGGAAUUCCAGUCUCCCCUACCGCACUCUAGUCUGCCCGUACCCGAUGCAAGCCCGAGGUUGAGCCUCGGGAUUUCACACCAGACGCGACAGACCGCCUACGAGCUCUUUACGCCCAAUAAUUCCGGACAACGCUUGCGCCCUACGUAUUACCGCGGCUGCUGGCACGUAGUUAGCCGGCGCUUCUUCUGCAGGUACCGUCACUUGCGCUUCUUCCCUGCUGAAAGAGGUCUACAACCCGAAGGCCGUCAUCCCUCACGCGGCGUCGCUGCAUCAGGCUUGCGCCCAUUGUGCAAUAUUCCCCACUGCUGCCUCCCGUAGGAGUCUGGGCCGUGUCUCAGUCCCAGUGUGGCCGGUCGCCCUCUCAGGCCGGCUACCCGUCGACGCCUUGGUAGGCCAUCACCCCACCAACAAGCUGAUAGGCCGCGAGCCCAUCCCCCACCGAAAAACUUUCCAACCCACACCAUGCGAUGCGAGCUCAUAUCCGGUAUUAGACCCCGUUUCCAAGGCUUAUCCCGAAGUGGAGGGCAGGUUGCUCACGUGUUACUCACCCGUUCGCCACUGAUCCACCCAGCAAGCUGGGCUUCAC